GUUUUCGUGAAUGUAUAAUUAUGCAUCAUGAUGGAUUUCAACAUAGCAUACAACAUCGUUUGUCCAACGAAAAGGAGUCUGUACUAUGGGGAUGCCCUUAAUACAGCAUUAAAUCGAACACAGCAUACAAGUAUUUGUCCGACGAAAAGGAGCCUGCACUAUGGAUACAUUGCCAGAAUUAGGUUGCAUUUUCCAAAGUGUGCAAUGUUUUGUUCAAUACAUUCGGACUUGCAGGAGGAAAAAAAGUAUCAAUACAAAUUGUUGUGGUGUUAUUGAGCUUUACUAAGCGCUUGUUGCAGCAAUGUGAUCAACGAUUUAGCUGCUGCUUAUU